CCCGCGAUAGCUCAGUUGGCAGAGCGGAGGACUGUAGUGGUUCUGACAAACUUUUAUCCUAAAGUCACUGGUUCGAAUCCGGUUCGCGGGA
rnacentral:tRNA from 1 species